rnacentral:sRNA from 1 species
UGCAUCUGAAGCCUGACGAGGAUGAGAACCUCCGGGGGCAGGAGGUUCGACUCGAGCGCAGCGAGAGAACGUUGCGUCAGCAACGGCCCGCAGGGCGA